GCAACGGGCGAUACCGCGUUCUCGCGAGGUCUCGCGACUGGCUAGGGCAGGGUCCUCUACAGCGGGGCCCCUCAGCAUUGUGGGAAGGCCUGGACCUCCCUAUUUCCCGGGAGUUGUUGGAGGUUGCACCGAGCGCACUACCGACUCUGUCCUUAAUUCGGGCCAAGCUUUGGUGUUGGAGAUUGAACUCAGGAACUCUCUGAGAGUGCUCACUGAGCUACAUCCCCAGCACCUUGUAUUUUUGGGGACCGGCUAUCACUAAAUUGCCCUGGCUGGCUUUAAACUUGGGAUCCUUCUCCCUCAGCCUUUGAACUGACUGGGUUUAGAGGCUUGUACCACUGUGCCUGGUUCAAUCUGCUUUCUUUAUACUUUUUUUCUUGAGUGCUGGGGAUGGAACCAGACCUGGUGCAUGUUAGGUGCUGGAAAUUAAAUCCAGGGCCUUGGGGAUGCUAGGCAAGUGCUCCACCAUUGAGCUACAUUGUGGCCCUUUUGAUGAGGAAAAAAAGAAGAAUCAAGAUAU
rnacentral:lncRNA from 1 species